rnacentral:rRNA from 1 species
AGAGUUUGAUCCUGGCUCAGAACAAACGCUGGCGGCGUGCCUAACACAUGCAAGUCGUACGUGAAAGUCCCGCAAGGGACAAGUAAAGUGGCGACCGGGUGAGUAAUACAUAGGUAACCUACUUAUAAGUUGGGAAUAACAGUUCGAAAGGACUGCUAAUACCGAAUAUUAUAUUAUAACACAAGUUGUAAUAUCAAAGAUGGCCUCUUUACAAUGCUAUCGCUUAUAAAUGGGCUUAUGAACCAUAGCUAGUUGGUGGAGUAAUAGCCUACCAAGGCAAUGAUGGUUAGCUGGUCUGAGAGGAUGAUCACCACACUGGACUGAACACKKCC